AGUUUGAUCAUGGCUCAGGACGAACGCUGGCGGCGUGCCUAAUACAUGCAAGUCGAACGAACUCUGGUAUUGAUUGGUGCUUGCAUCAUGAUUUACAUUUGAGUGAGUGGCGAACUGGUGAGUAACACGUGGGAAACCUGCCCAGAAGCGGGGGAUAACACCUGGAAACAGAUGCUAAUACCGCAUAACAACUUGGACCGCAUGGUCCGAGUUUGAAAGAUGGCUUCGGCUAUCACUUUUGGAUGGUCCCGCGGCGUAUUAGCUAGAUGGUGGGGUAACGGCUCACCAUGGCAAUGAUACGUAGCCGACCUGAGAGGGUAAUCGGCCACAUUGGGACUGAGACACGGCCCAAACUCCUACGGGAGGCAGCAGUAGGGAAUCUUCCACAAUGGACGAAAGUCUGAUGGAGCAACGCCGCGUGAGUGAAGAAGGGUUUCGGCUCGUAAAACUCUGUUGUUAAAGAAGAACAUAUCUGAGAGUAACUGUUCAGGUAUUGACGGUAUUUAACCAGAAAGCCACGGCUAACUACGUGCCAGCAGCCGCGGUAAUACGUAGGUGGCAAGCGUUGUCCGGAUUUAUUGGGCGUAAAGCGAGCGCAGGCGGUUUUUUAAGUCUGAUGUGAAAGCCUUCGG
rnacentral:rRNA from 1 species